rnacentral:rRNA from 1 species
CCAAUAGCGUAUAUUAAAGUUGUUGCAGUUAAAAAGCUCGUAGUUGAAUUUCGGGAUCAAUACGUCGGUCGUGCUUCGGUACGUACUAACGUUAUUGAUUUCUCUCUUCUGACAAACCGUGAUGUCAUUUAUUUGGUGUUACGGCGAGUUAGGACUGUUACUUUGAAAAAAUUAGAGUGUUUAAAGCAAGCAAUCGCUCGAAUACAUUAGCAUGGAAUAAUGAAAUAGGACGUUCGAACCUAUUUUGUUGGUUUCUAGGAUCGACGUAAUGAUUAAUAGGGAUAGUUGGGGGCAUUAGUAUUCAAUUGUCAGAGGUGAAAUUCUUGGAUUUAUUGAAGACUAACUACUGCGAAAGCAUUUGCCAAGGAUGUUUUCAUUAAUCAAGAACGAAAGUUAGGGGAUCGAAGACGAUCAGAUACCGUCGUAGUCUUAACCAUAAACUAUGCCGACUAGGGAUCGGAUGAUGUUAAUUUUAUAAUGACUCAUUCGGCGCCUUACG